rnacentral:tRNA from 3 species
GCCGGGGUAGCUCAGUUGGUAGAGCACAGGACUGAAAAUCCUGGUGUCCGCAGUUCGAUUCUGCGCCCCGGCACCA